UGUCAGUUUAAUAACUUAUUAAGGAUUUAUCAUGAUUUAAUAGACAAGUUAAAGCCGUCGAUUUGACUCCACAUCGCACGUCGUCAUUUCCUUGUUUGUUUUUUUUUUUUAUACUUUAUUCACAUGCACACGUUUCAUAUAUAAGAAUUGUGAAAUCAUUUGUUGUGGCAGGAUAUACAUGACUAUAGUGAUUACAUCUCCUUUGUGCAUAUGCAGUGAAUUAUUAUAUGUCUCUAUUCGAUAGCAGUUUUGGUCAAUUCAGAAUCGACUUGUGAAAUGAACAUUACAAUAACGGAGUUUGAAAAACGAUUCCACACAACUGGAUUGGAGGUUUGAUCAAACUUGCUAUUUUAUUAUAAAUUGGAAGAUUGACUGCAACUUCCUAUUUAGUAAAUAAAUCCCAAAUGGUCAUAAAGGGAACAAAAUGUCCAAAAAUAUCCAAAUUCUUUAACCGUUUUCUAUCAGUUAUUUUAUAAAAGAGCAGCUGCUUUCUCUAAUUAUUUUGGACACACGUGGACUGUGGACCUUGUUUAUUUGUAUUUUUCCAUGUCAGCAAUUUUAAUCUUCAUUUGCAAUUCUUUGAUAUAUUCUUAACAUUCCUUUUUAUAUUAAUAACAAACUCCCCAGGACCCACCAACACCACUACAGCACAUUGUAGUGGUUAUGGUACCAGGAGCUCCCUGACACUCUCUUUGGGUAAGUAGUCAAAACAUCUGGCAACUUACCUGGGGACUGCUAUGUGCCAAGCACUACCUACAUCUCCGAAAACCAGGAAUGCAGUGCUUAUGGUUCUUGGAGAGUGUUAUAUUUAUAUCAAAUUACAACUUAUUGUAUUAUUACAGCCCAUUGUAUUAUUACAGCUAAUUGUAUUAUUACAGCUCAGUGUAUUAUUACAGCUAAUUGUAAUAUUACAGUUCAUUGUACUAAUACAGCCCAUUGUAUUAUUACAGCCCAUUGUAUUAUUACAGCUCAUUGUAAUAUUACAGCUCAUUGUACUAAUAUAGCCCAUUGUAUUAUUACAGCUCAUUGUAAUAUUACAGCUUAUUGUAUUAUUACAGCCCAUUGUAUUAUUACAGCUUAUUGUAAUAUUACAGCUUAUUGUAUUAUUACAGCCCAUUGUAUUAUUACAGCUCAGUGUAUUAUUACAGCUAAUUGUAUUAUUACAGCUCAGUGUAUUAUAACAGAUUAGUGAGUUAUACGUUCAUUUUAGUUGAUAUUUGAAUUCAUUUCCAGCAUUUUAUUGGUAAUCGCACUAAUACAGAUUUUUUAAUUUUCUUUUGCAGCUUUGCAUGUUUUUUCCCUUUUUUUAGAAGCGAUCGUGGCCUUGUUCUGAUUUGAGACUAAGAGUCAGUCUUCAGAUUAAUAUUUAUUAUCUCCACUUUACACUCUGCUUACACUGAGAAUUACACACUUGCCCUCCUUCCCAGUCUAAUCCUGGAGCCAUCUGCUGCCCCUCGCAGCCAGCAUCUGCUGUGUCCCGACUCAUGUGGGUCUAGCGUUUGUCGAACCUCUCUCCAACGCCUCACACAACAUUCCCAUGUCAGAGAAACUGUCAUCUCACUAGGAGCAGUGCCAGGAAAUGCCAAGAAAACAGUAAAAACAAUGUCGCAUAUUUAGCUGAAAUCACAGACUGAUUCAUUCAAAAACAUAUGAAGUUAAAAAGCUUUACAGAUCAUUGCUUAGGGUAUGUUUGAAUAAAGCUGACUUAAUUAACUAUUAGUUAGCAAUUUGUUUCCAUAUAUUUUAUUACAAUGUAUUUCUGUUUGAGCCAAGGCAAAGAAAGGCAUUUCAUGCAAACAUAUGCAAAUUCCCAGAUGUUUCCAUAAACCCUCACAAGUACACAGUGUUUUAUUGUGAAUUGUGCUUCUGGGAACGCAGUCAUUGCGAAUUGCAACAAGUUGCGCAGGCAUGCAGGUUUCCCAUUACUGCAUUAGAAGCUCUGCUCAUCACACUGAGCACAUGACUGCUGACCCAAUACCAGAAAACCUGUUACCUCCCAGUAACGACAUGACACUUGAGUGUUGGAUAAGGGCAACGGCCACAGCUUUAUUUAAACUUUAACACAGCCAGCAUUUCCACCUGUCAGCUGUUGGGGUGAAUACACAACAGGCAGAUACUCCAAGUCUUUAUCCAGAGUCCGUACAGCCUGCCUUCUGCCGGCAAUCUCUGCUUCCUAGUAAUCCUUCAGUACCAUAAACAUCGCACCGAACACCAUAACCACCGUAAACCCCACAAACUGCCGCAGCUUGGUUGGGGUCUCACUGUCCUCCACCCACCCUGGACCCAAGACCAGGAUCCAGUAGGGGUAAACCUCUCCUAGUCCAGAGAGUGAUGCAGGUUGCUCUUAUAAGAGCAAGUGUCGUGAUCCAAGGGAGUAUAGUGAUUAUAGCAAUCCCCAGAAUGUGAAUAUAGCUCUACAAUCCCCCAAACAUGAGCCUAGACUUCAUGAAGGGUAAAACGAAUCUGAUUAAUGGCAGCCACAACUGGCCUUAUAUGCAGG
rnacentral:lncRNA from 1 species